GAUGAAGAACGUAGCGAAAUGCGAUAAGUAAUGUGAAUUGCAGAAUUCAGUGAAUCAUCGAAUCUUUGAACGCACAUUGCGCCCGCCAGUAUUCUGGCGGGCAUGCCUGUUCGAGCGUCAUUUCAACCCUCGACCUCCCUUUGGGGAAUUCGGCGUUGGGGACCGGCAGCACACCGCCGGCCCUGAAAUGGAGUGGCGGCCCGUCCGCGGCGACCUCUGCGUAGUAAUCCAACUCGCACCGGAACCCCGACGCGGCCACGCCGUAAAACACCCAACUUCUGAACGUUGACCUCGAAUCAGGUAGGACUACCCGCUGAACUUAAGCAUAUCAAUAAGCGGAGGA
rnacentral:misc_RNA from 1 species